CCCUUAGAUGAUUUGGGCUGCACGCGCGCUACACUGACCCUAACAAUGAGCAACUGUCUGGCCUGAGAUGGCUGGGUAGCCUUUUCAACCCAUGUCAUGAUUGGGCUAGAUUUUUGUAAGUCUUGAUCUCUAACGAGGAAUCCCUAGUAUGCGUGAAUCAUCAAUCCAUGCAGAUUAUGUCCCUGCCCUUUGUACACACCGCCCGUCGCUCCUACCGAUUGAAUGAUCCGAUGAAUACCAUGGAUUGAGAGUUCGAAUAGGUUCGCCUAUUUCAGCUUCUCGAGAAGUGGAGUAAAUCUUAUCAUUUAGAGGAAGGAGAAGUCGUAACA
rnacentral:rRNA from 1 species